GUGAACUUCUGAAGACAUUUCCUCACACAGUGUCCUGGACCAAGAGUCACUUUGAACUUAAAAAAUUGAAGAACAAGUGGUUGAUGCAGCUAUUCAUCUCUCAUGUGGUCCAUGUAGCUUAUUUUCAUUCCUUCUGGAUGUCCACCAGGAGAGAAUAUGGCUCAUGCCUUUUGUAAAGCUCUGAUGAUGUAAAAAAAGAUCAGUGAUGGUUUCAGCUGCACAUCCCUCUCCUGAGCAGGACUCGUGUGUUCUGGACAACCAUUGCUGUGCUCUGCAGCUGAGUCUGUGUACAGAGCUCAUCACAGAAAAAAGCUACACCAUUUCUUUGGGGAUAAUUGAAAAUGUGAGCUCUCUAUUUCCUGGCCACCCCAAAGCAGGUGAAGAUCAGGAUAUGCACUGAGAUGCUGAAUGGACAGGCCAUGUCACCAUUAGUCAUACUUCGGAAUGAUGGUUUACUUUCAUUAUUCACUGACUGCACUGCUUCCGAUUCAGCGCUCUCCAACUCAGC